rnacentral:rRNA from 1 species
CCCUUAGAUGUUCUGGGCCGCACGCGCGCUACACUGACGAAUGCAACGAGCUUAUAACCUUGGCCGAAAGGUCUGGGUAAUCUCCAAAUUUCGACGUGAUGGGGAUAGAUUAUUGCAAUUAUUAAUCUUCAACGAGGAAUGCCUAGUAAGCGCAAGUCAUCAGCUUGCGUUGAUUACGUCCCUGCCCUUUGUACACACCGCCCGUCGCUCCUACCGAUUGAAUGGUCCGGUGAAGCGUUCGGACCGUGGCCUUUGGACGGUUCGCCGUCUGUUGGCUGCGGGAAGUUCGUUAAACCUUAUCAUUUAGAGGAAGGAGAAGUCGUAACA